GAUGAAGAACGCAGCGAAAUGCGAUAAGUAAUGUGAAUUGCAGAAUUCAGUGAAUCAUCGAAUCUUUGAACGCACAUUGCGCCCCCUGGUAUUCCGGGGGGCAUGCCUGUCCGAGCGUCAUUACAACCCUCAAGCUCAGCUUGGUGUUGGGCCCCGCCGCCCCGGCGGGCCCUAAAGUCAGUGGCGGUGCCGUCCGGCUCCGAGCGUAGUAAUUCUUCUCGCUCUGGAGGUCCGGUCGUGUGCUCGCCAGCAACCCCCAAUUUUUUUCAGGUUGACCUCGGAUCAGGUAGGGAUACCCGCUGAACUUAAGCAUAUCAAUAAGCGGGGGA
rnacentral:misc_RNA from 1 species